CUUCUCCCACCAGGUGGAGUGUCUUUUCCAAUUGGGACAUUAGGAGUUGGCCGCCUUCUGUGUGGCAGGACCGGCCUUUCCCCAAGCAGGAACCAGGAGACUUGUUACCUGGGCCUUUUGAAUAGCAAAGUGGUUAAUUUGGAUGAAGUCCGCCAAAUUAUGCUGGUGUCAAGAUCUUUGCUUAACCCUAAAUCCCCAAGUGUUUCUCCCCUAUUAUAGUUUUUCAAGUUUUA